AUGCAAGUCAGAUGGGAAGUGUUAUUUUCGUUGGCGGACGGAUGAGAAACAUAUAAGAACUUGUCGUUGGGAGGGGAACAACAACCGAAAAUGACUGCCAAUACCCUAUAGGCUGAGAGAAAAAGGAAGAAUCCGCCGGAGAAGGGGCUUGCAUCCGGUUAACUAGUUGGUGAGGUAAUAGCUUACCAAGUCGAUAAUCAGUAGCUGCUUCGACGGGUUAAUCAAUCAUAUGGCAUAGACUCCUACGGUAAAAGGAA
rnacentral:ncRNA from 1 species